rnacentral:rRNA from 1 species
UACGGGGGGUGCGAGCGUUGUCCGGAAUCAUUGGGCGUAAAGGGCGCGUAGGUGGCCCGGUCAGUCAGUGGUGAAAGCGCGGGGCUCAACUCCGCGUCGGCCAUUGAUACUGCGGGGCUGGAGCACUGUAGAGGCAGGCGGAAUUCCGGGUGUAGCGGUGAAAUGCGUAGAUAUUGGGAAGAACACCUGAGGCGAAGGCGGGUUGCUGGGCCGACACUGACGCUGAGGCGCGAAAGCCAGGGGAGCGAACGGG